GUGCAGGUCGAUGCGUGGCCGCCGGCCGGAUGAGUGCGUGUCCUGACGGCCGUCGGCGAGCGGAGCGCGGGAGCGGCCGGGGAUAGCGGUGGCGCUGUCACACGUCAGGCGUCGUCCGACCGCACGGGUCGGCGCGUCAAGCGAGUCCGGCAGUCGGCGGGGCUAAACAGGCCUCUGGCCUCCGUCAACAAAAAAAAUCCACAUGGUAGGAUCUAGGCGGUGACAGAGUAUGGUUUCUGUAAGCCCUCGUUUGAGGUGACCUAAGACUAGCUCGUCUCGGUGUACCUCUACUUGGACGACUCUUCGGCAUGGAAGAGAGGCGAGGGUAGCUGUGGGGCCGGCCGGAGGAGGGUCGCGGCGGCGGCGGCCGAAGGGAGGUAUUGUAAGGAGGGCGGCGUCGGAGCAGACGGUUCGGCUCCCCUGUCCCACACGUCGUCCCGUUACGUCGUCGCCGUCCUCACCCACCCCCUGACCCAGGCCUCGUUGCUGUGCGAACAGGCGCGGGAGGGGUAGGAGCAGCCGCCGCGCAGUGAGGAGCGGCAGGAGGAGUUGGCACGGCAAAGGCCGUAGCGGCGGCAGAGGCUGCGGAGGUCAAGCGUCAGCUCCCGGCUGUAUGAGUGGAACCGCGAGAGACAUUGACUAUAGGAACGGCCGGAACAAACCGACAGUUAGGCGGGUUUUUGGUAAAGAGGCCAGCGAGGAGCACCGCAGCUAACAUUCGCUCAUCUACUCCUACAUAGUUCAAGACGAGAAGCACUUGAUGAAACCUGUACCCUAAGGAACUGCCGACGUUGAACAACGUUUAGUAACCAGCAACACAUACCUCCAUUAACGUUUGAAGUUCAACCCCAACGACGACGGAGAGGUCUUCUACCAUUACGACAAUUACACCUACGCGUCUUCAAGUACGUUCCAAGGGAAAUGUUCUCACGGUACCUUAGGUUCUUCGUUAGAAUAGAUCGUUUAGAACGAAAUAUAGGACCUUCUUGACUCGACGGUAAAGAUGGUUGAUUGUGCGUCCGGGAUUAUAACGUCGGUUAACCGCUACUUCCUUAACGUCAAUAACCACCACUGUGAUAUUCCCCCAAGUGAUUAGAACUAGUCCGUACCUAACGAUACUAACGUCUGUUCAACCUACGAUGUAACAGUUUCGGAAUUCCAACGUAACAAACAACCUAUAAGUUAAUUAACGGUAAAAUGAGACUUCACCAAUACGUUAGAAAUGGACUAGGGUCUUAAGUAGUUCCACUACAUGUCCCGGACCAUAACCGUUUUAAAACUCACUAAACUACCCUACCGAUUCAAACUGUUUUUAAUACCCUAACAUUAUACGGGUUACCGUUUAUUCCGCGUACUAGUAGGAUAGGAAAAUUUUCAAAGACGUCACUUAACAAUUACUCCUCGUGUACGGAGUAAAUGUCAAGUAAUGGGACGAAAAGUUAGACGGUCAAUUGAGCCACCAGAAAGCGUUUCGAAGAAGGAGAAACCUCCGGUGCUACUUCACGACGUCCCUGCUGCGGCACGAACUCCAUCCAAAUCUCUACUCCUGUUCGCCGUACAACUACAAACCGAGUCAUUUGAACAACAGACUCCCCACUAUAUCGAUCGGGCGGGGGAGGACAUUUUUGACGAGAAACCAAUGAGAACCCAAAAUUCGUUAUUCUUCUCUAAGUCCACCCAUUCAGUCAAUUACGAAAUUGGGACUAAAGUCUUUUACGUUUCGUGUAACAACAAUAACAUUCCCACCACGGAUGAACUAAGGUGUACUGGAUGAGUCAUUGUCAUACGACCGACAAUAGUAUUUUUGUACUAAUUUCCCACUUCAAGGAAGGGAGCUGACAUGCAACGUCCAUCUUCACACUGUGGGAGCGCCUAGGGUGCACCCACCCACUCGAAUGCUGGCACACCAGAUCGUUUGGCUCGCGAGCCAAGAGACGACUGACAAUAGUACCACCUCGACAGACUAGGUUUGUAAGAUAUUAACUGAAGAACAAUAUCAAUAUGACGAAACUCCGAUACAGUACUUACGUAUACUUGAUAGUAUUCUCGUUGUGACACUAACCA
rnacentral:rRNA from 1 species